GUGUUCACUUUGGCAGCAUAUAUACUAAAAGUGGAAUGAUACAGAAGAGAUUAGCAUGGCCCCUGUGCAAGGAUGCAAGUGAAUAAAAUAUGGGGUAGUAAUACUCAU